CCUACGGGGGGCUGCAGUGGGGAAUAUUGCACAAUGGGCGCAAGCCUGAUGCAGCCAUGCCGCGUGUGUGAAGAAGGCCUUCGGGUUGUAAAGCACUUUCAGCGGGGAGGAAGGCGUUAAGGUUAAUAAACUUGUCGAUUGACGUUACCCGCAGAAGAAGCACCGGCUAACUCCGUGCCAGCAGCCGCGGUAAUACGGAGGGUGCAAGCGUUAAUCGGAAUUACUGGGCGUAAAGCGCACGCAGGCGGUCUGUCAAGUCGGAUGUGAAAUCCCCGGGCUCAACCUGGGAACUGCAUUCGAAACUGGCAGGCUAGAGUCUGGUAGAGGGGGGUAGAAUUCCAGGUGUAGCGGUGAAAUGCGUAGAUAUCUGGAGGAAUACCGGUGGCGAAGGCGGCCCCCUGGACAAAUACUGACGCUCAGGUGCGAAAGCGUGGGGAGCAAACAGGAUUAGAUACCCCUGUAGUC
rnacentral:rRNA from 1 species